rnacentral:rRNA from 1 species
AUUGAACGCUGGCGGCAGGCCUAACACAUGCAAGUCGAGCGGAAGAACGGAGCUUGCUCCUGGUUUCAGCGGCGGACGGGUGAGUAAUGCCUAGGAAUCUGCCUGGCAGUGGUGUAUAACGUCCUGAAACGGGCGCUAAUACCGCAUACGUCCUGAGGGAGAAAGUGGGGGAUCUUCGGACCUUACGCUAUCAGAGGAGCCGAGGUCGGGUUAGCUAGUUGGUGGGGUAAAGGCCUACCAAGGCGACGAUCCGUAACUGGUCUGAGAGGCUGAUCAGUCACACUGGAACUGAGACACGGUCCUGAGUCCUACGGGAGGCAGCAGUGGGGAAUAUUGGACAAUGGGCGAAAGCAUGGUCCAGCCAUGCCGCGUGUGUGAAGAAGGUCUUCGGAUUGUAAAGCCCUUUUAGUUGUGAGGAACGGCAGUAGGUUAAUACCAUGCUGUUUUGACGUUACCAACAGAAUAAGCACCGGCUAACUUCGUG